rnacentral:tRNA from 2 species
UAUAUAUUAGUGUAAGAGGCACAAAAAGUUUUGAUUUUUUAAGGAGGGGUUGAAUUCCCCUGUAUGUAU